UUUCUUUCCUUCCUUGCCAUCACCCACCUUCGCAUCAUCGAUCGUCGCCAUUGCUUAUUCCUUUUUAUUUGGGCGUCCAUUGGGUGUGUUCUUUUGUUUUUUUCUCAACAAAAAAUAGUUAAAAAUGUAGCUUAAAGUCAUUAAAGUGUAAUUUCAUCAUGUAGGCAGAAGCUUUUUUGUUGUUUUAUUGUGUGGUUUCAGAUCCCUAGGAUGGGGCGAUGGUCAGAAAAUAAGUGUGAAAUUCCAAAAAAGACCCUUUUACAAUUCCAGCAUAUCGUGUACACACCCAUGGAAGACGGCAAGAUAGAAAGUGGCGUGCAUAGGGCUGGUAGAUAAGAUUUUAACUCUUUUCCUGAAUAAGGAGGCAGCAAUGGCGAAAGGGAUCUAUGCAAGAAGGACCCAUGUAUUUGAUUUAAAAUAGCAUCUUAAAGUCAUCAACAAAAAGUAGACUUUCCCAGUGUUUUACCACCUCGUUACCAUACUCUUGGAUGGCUAUCAAUAAAAAUUCAAAAGAGCAACGGCCUCAGAUUACUACCCUGUGGCACAGCAGAAAAACCCUCAGACAUUGAUUUUGCAACUUAAAAAAUCUGUUGUAGUGAGGUCAGGUAUGUUUUCAAAUUGUAGCGUUUUUACCGUUAAGGUGUAAAUUAAAACACUCGAUGCACAAAAAUA